rnacentral:rRNA from 1 species
CCUACGGGUGGCAGCAGUGGGGAAUAUUGGACAAUGGGCGAAAGCCUGAUCCAGCCAUGCCGCGUGUGUGAAGAAGGCCUUCGGGUUGUAAAGCACUUUCAGUGGGGAAGAAAGCCUUGGGGCUAAUACCCUCGAGGAAGGACAUCACCCACAGAAGAAGCACCGGCUAACUCCGUGCCAGCAGCCGCGGUAAUACGGAGGGUGCGAGCGUUAAUCGGAAUUACUGGGCGUAAAGCGCGCGUAGGCGGUCUGAUAAGCCGGUUGUGAAAGCCCCGGGCUCAACCUGGGAACGGCAUCCGGUACUGUCAGGCUAGAGUGCAGGUGAGGAAGGUAGAAUUCCCGGUGUAGCGGUGAAAUGCGUAGAGAUCGGGAGGAAUACCAGUGGCGAAGGCGGCCUUCUGGACUGACACUGACGCUGAGGUGCGAAAGCGUGGGUAGCAAACAGGAUUAGAUACCCGUGUAGUC